CCCUGGUUAGCUUAGUCGCUAGAGCGCUCCACUGGAAAUAGAGAAGAAUCAGGUUCGAUAAAUGGACCAGGCG
rnacentral:tRNA from 1 species